rnacentral:rRNA from 1 species
CUUUGCUCAUUGACGUUACCCGCAGAAGAAGCACCGGCUAACUCCGUGCCAGCAGCCGCGGUAAUACGGAGGGUGCAAGCGUUAAUCGGAAUUACUGGGCGUAAAGCGCACGCAGGCGGUUUGUUAA